rfam:Oryza punctata chromosome 3, whole genome shotgun sequence.
GGGAGAGUGCGAUGUUGGCAUGGUUCAAUCAAACCGGGCAAACUUGUGCACUAGCUAGCAAGGUGUGCAGGGAUAUGCAGGAUUGCAGUAUGGUUUUGCUUGGUCUGAUUGAGCCGUGCCAAUAUCACAAGCUUGCCU